CCUACGGGAGGCAGCAGUGGGGGAUAUUGCACAAUGGGGGAAACCCUGAUGCAGCGACGCCGCGUGAGUGAAGACGUAUUUCGGUAUUUUAAACUCUAUCAGCAGGGAAGAAAAUGACAGUACCUGACCAACAAGCCCAGGCUAACUACGUGCCAGCAGCCGCGGUAAUACGUCGGGGGCAAGCGUUAUCCGGAUUUACUGGGUGUAAAGGGAGCGUAGGCGGUUAUGUAAGGCUGGAGUGAAAGGCCGGGGCCCAACCCCGGUCGUGCUUUGGCAACUGUGUAACUUGAGUACAGGAGGGGCAGGCGGAAUGCCUGGUGUAGCGGUGAAAUGCGUAGAUAUCAGGAGGAACACCGGCGGCGAAGGCGGCCUGCUGGACUGCAACUGACGUUGAGGCACGAAAGCGUGGGGAGCGAACAGGAUUAGAUACCCCAGUAGUC
rnacentral:rRNA from 1 species